rnacentral:rRNA from 1 species
AUUGAACGCUGGCGGCAGGCCUAACACAUGCAAGUCGAACGAGUGGCGGACGGGUGAGUAAUGUCUGGGAAACUGCCCGAUGGAGGGGGAUAACUACUGGAAACGGUAGCUAAUACCGCAUACCAUCGGAUGUGCCCAGUUGGGAUUAGCUAGUAGGUGGGGUAACGGCUCACCUAGGCGACGCUCCCUAGCUGGUCUGAGAGGAUGACCAGCAACACUGGAACUGAGACACGUCCCAGACUCCGACGGGAGGCAGCGGUAGGGAAUCUUCGGCAAUGGGCGCAAGCCUGAUGCAGCCAUGCCGCGUGUGUGAAGAAGGCCUUCGGGUUGUAAAGCACUUUCAGCGAGGAGGCGUGACUCGCAGAAGAAGCACCGGCUAACUCCGUGCCAGCAGCCGCGGUAAUUC